rnacentral:lncRNA from 1 species
AGAACAGAGCACUCUGACCUAUUUCAAAAUGGUUCCUUUUCCCUUCUCCUUGCAGGAAGCAGGAAGGGAUUUUUUUCUCACAUAUUUACUGUGCGAACCUGGCCGAGCUCCUGGAGAUAUAUCUCACAGUAUUGUGGGGAGCCCUCUUAUGACUGCCUCUUCCUGGAGUUUUUAAUUCUCAGAGUUGUAUACCCUGAGCCUUCAGCAACUUGUCGAUUAUAGCUCCAGUUUUUCUAUUCUGUACUUGUUCCAAUGGGAGUUUCUGCUGUUGAGUCUCUGCUUUGUUUGAAAUAAUUUCAAGCCUACAAAUAGUCCUGAGAAUUAUCAAAGAAAUACAAACCAGCCUUUCAGAAUCUGGAUAAACUAUGAAAUCCUGCAUUAUACAGAAUGUCAAACAGACAUAAAAGCCAGCAGAGCAUCAACUGUGGAGCUUAGGAAUCAUCUCAGAAAGAAGUUUACAAUGAAAAUCUUGCUGAGUCCAGAGUCUGAAAGAACUGAAGACUACGGUCGUUUUGACCACAGGAGGAGUCAUUGUCUGAGCCAAAGGACCAUGGGGGCAACUUUGAACCAGGAUAAGUACGAAAGUUGACUAAUACUCAAACUGAUGAGGAGCUCCCUAGCUGCUUUCACCACUGCGGGUACAACAAGAAGUCUGCAACUCAGAAGAGGGCCAUCACCUGACCAUGUCGGCACCCUGAUCUUGGACUUCCCAGCCCCCAGAACACUUCCCAGAGGUGAAAACAUUCUUGCAGUCUUGAUUAAGGAAUGCAGAUCUUUACACAAUGGUUACUUUAAAUGUUUCGACUGCAAGAAACAGAAUUUUCAAACUCAAAAUUGAUUAUGCUAUAGAAAAAAUUUAUCUCAAUGAGAAAUCCAAAAUCAUGCUGAGUGCUAGGAUCUUGGCCUCUGGAUUUGUCUGCCUCAAUAGUUCUCCAGGCCCAUCAACCAGAAAGUCCUCAAGGUCAGAGGAUCUCUGAUGGGAGCAAAUGUUCUUCAAGUACUGUGAUCUUGGGAGCCAUAGUAAUUGUUCAGUUACUUGGCAUGGAAGUCAUAAUUGUCAUGGACAAAAGAAGCACCAAUUUCAAGUGGACCAUAAAAAUGCAGGCAAGAGUAACAACGUUUUAAUUUCUCUUUGGGAGAAAUUUACCCCUUGUAAGCAAGUUGGAAAGAAGAGUUAGGAGAUUUAAUUUUCCUGAAACUGAUUUUGCAUAAUAAACAAACAAACAAAAGAUAA